UUCUUUCAGAAAAAUUGAAAGUAAAUUCUGCCCUAUGAAAAAUUUAAUGGCUGCAGUAUAUUGACUGUACAAAGGUAGCAUAAUAAUUAGUUUAUUAAUUGUAAACUGGAAUGAAUGAAUAAAUGAAAAACAAAUUUUAUUUUUAUUACUGAUAAAAAUUUAUUUUUAAGUCAAAAAGCUUAAAUAAUCUUUAGGGACGAGAAGACCCUAUAGAACUUUACUUUUUAAGUAAAAGAAAAACUAUAGAUUAUUUUUUUCUUAAAAAUAAAAUGUUUUAUUGGGGUGAUAAUUAAAUUUAUUUAACUUUAAUUAAUAGAAUCAUUAAUAAAUGUAUAAACUGAUCCAAAUAAUUGAAAAAAAGAAAAAGUUACCUUAGGGAUAACAGCGUAAUUUUAGUGGAAAGUUCAAAUUUAUACUAAAGAUUGCGACCUCGAUGUUGAAUUAAGAUAACUUAAGGGGUAGAUUCUUUGAGAAAUAGUCUGUUCGACUAAAAUAUUCUUACA
rnacentral:rRNA from 1 species